ensembl:lncRNA
GCAUGAACAACCUUGUCUACAUGUCAGCCUUUUUUACUUUUUUCAUUAUUUUUCCUCAGGGUCUGUAAGCAUCAUAAAAGUUUCCCAAAGUAUGUACGUAAUGGCUCAAUAUUCACCAAGUCUCACAUCCCUCUGACAAAAUGGCUUGAGUUCAUGCACAGAUUUGCCCAAGGUUUGCAGUUGAAGCAACUUGCCAUGAUCAGUGACAGGAUAGCAGCAAGCUCCAGGACAUUGACAAGAAUGGCAAAAGUACUCUGAAAGUGGGUCUUUGGGAUGUUGGAGGUCGACAAGAAGUCCAGAAGACCCAUUCUGAGACUUGUCAGGGAUCGCAGAAGGAAGACACUUAUAGGUCAUAUUAGACGCCAUGUCAGACCCAGAACAUCCAUCCUCAGUGAUGAAUGGCGUGCCUACAAAGGGCAACUUGCCCAGUAUGGGUAUGAUCAUUAUUCGGUCUGCCAUAAAAACAACUUUGUGGACCGAGAGACU